UUAAGGACCACACUCACCCAAGGUACAGUUAACAGGGUAACCAUCUAGAAAUCAAUAACGAAAAAUACACUGAGUUGUGAUCAGAAUAAACAAUUAUUUUUUGUAGGUAAUGUGUAGUUUUUAUUAUGAUUGUAAUCUACUUAAUGGUGUGGAAAGCAAAGUUUUUUCGAUUGUGGGCAAGAUAAAAAAUUGCCAGUAAUCAAAACAUUUUAACCACAAAAUGUUUUGAGAUUUUCGAAGUUAAAAUGCUUAAUCACAAUAAAAAUAUUCAAUGAUACUUUGCCCCACUGCGUAAAAACAAUACCAACGCAACCAUAAAACCUUUUCUUUUUCUUUCAUUUGCAUGAAGUGAAUUGUCCUUUACACCACCACCACCUAGAAAUCCAUUAACUAUUAGAGAUGCAAGGAAAAUUAGUAGAUUAGAACUUUAAUGUCUCCAGAGAUCAGGGCCGAGUGGUGACGUGCGCAACAUUUCUUACUACGCAACGGGAAGUUGUGAUUGUGCUGAAUGAUUUAAUUCGUACAUUUCCUCGCCGUACCUCCCUUUGAAUUAUAAAACUGAAGACAAAUUUUGCUAAGCUAGUGUCGCUGAACCUCAGAUCUUUCCAAAUAAUAAGUAUUCGUACAAUUCAAAACAUGUUUUUCAGUCAUGACAGAACGAAAAGAUUCCGAGAAUCAUUUAGGUACUGAAAUAAGAAAUAAUUGAAACCUAUAAUAAAUAUAAUGCACUAUGUUUUUCGUUUUAAGCUACAAAUUUAGCAGCAACUAGAGAGAGAUCAGUAAUACUGAAAUUCUAAAUUAGCGUAUAUUCGAAGCUUAGUUUCUCUCCGAAAUCUGUUGUGAUACUGCGAUGAAUUGAUUUUCAGUGAAGAAUAUAGACAUCCUUCGAUGCCCUAUAGACAAGUAUUACGUAAAAUUUGGCAGUCUAUUACUUCGAGGGGUCCGGUGACCGUGUACGGAAUUCUAACCUAUUGGCAGCGCUAGUAUUAUAAAAACAUCCCCACGAUUCACAGUACCAUAAAUCUUCAAGUGCGAGGAACAUUUAAUAACAGUAGCGUUUGUCCAUAGAAACAAAGUACAUUUUCUGAAACAGAGAAUACAUAUAAGUACAGCAAUUCCUUGAAGCAUGUUUUUUCGUCGGUAAAGCUGUAGGACGAAAACCGCAGAGAGUUGCUUUACAGUUUGUAAUAUAAUUCUUUUUUUCACUCUGGAUAGUGAAAGAAAUUUUGAAAACAAAUUUGCAUACACUCAAUGUAUGUCUUCGAAAAAACCAAAUUUGGACACACUCAAUAUAUAUCUUCGAAAAGCCUGACAACAAGGCAGUCCAUAUCAAACUGCAUCUGCAACGUGGUGACGUCUUCACAUUGCGAAACCAUGCAGUUACGCGAUGAAGUGCCGUGCGGAAAACCGUGUGCACCAAUAGCAUCAAUAUAAAUCCUCAGAUGGCGCCACGAACUUAUCUACUUCGCGCAGACGUUACCCAAGAUGCUGUGGCCGAAGCGGGAAGAUACAAAGGAAUCGAAAUCGUCAGAUAAGCUGACAAACCAGAAGAGGACAACAUCUACAUGUUGCAAACCAUUAUCAAAAAGCGAAUGCUGCCAAUCGUGCAAACCUCCAUGCAAGUGUAGGAGGAUUGUAAUACGACCACUCUUGUUUUCAUAUUACACAGAUUUGAUGCAUUAAACCAAAAAUUAUGUUUCAUUAUCUGCUGUAUAAUUUUCUACGGAUAAUAUGAAACUUAAAGAAUAUAAAGAAUUAAUAAUUCAUAAUUUUA